rnacentral:rRNA from 1 species
UUAAGUUAUUAAGGGCGCACGGUGGAUGCCUUGGCACUAGAAGCCGAUGAAGGACGUUACUAACGACGAUAUGCUUUGGGGAGCUGUAAGUAAGCUUUGAUCCAGAGAUUUCCGAAUGGGGAAACCCAGCAUGAGUUAUGUCAUGUUAUCGAUAUGUGAAUACAUAGCAUAUCAGAAGGCACACCCGGAGAACUGAAACAUCUUAGUACCCGGAGGAAGAGAAAGAAAAUUCGAUUCCCUUAGUAGCGGCGAGCGAAACGGGAAGAGCCCAAACCAACAAGCUUGCUUGUUGGGGUUGUAGGACACUCUAUACGGAGUUACAAAGGACGACAUUAGACGAAUCAUCUGGAAAGAUGAAUCAAAGAAGGUAAUAAUCCUGUAGUCGAAAAUGUUGUCUCUCUUGAGUGGAUCCUGAGUACGACGGAGCACGUGAAAUUCCGUCGGAAUCUGGGAGGACCAUCUCCUAAGGCUAAAUACUCUCUAGUGACCGAUAGUGAACCAGUACCGUGAGGGAAAGGUGAAAAGCACCCCGGAAGGGGAGUGAAAUAGAACCUGAAACCGUGUGCUUACAAGUAGUCAGAGCCCGUUAAUGGGUGAUGGCGUGCCUUUUGUAGAAUGAACCGGCGAGUUACGAUUUGAUGCAAGGUUAAGCAGUAAAUGUGGAGCCGUAGCGAAAGCGAGUCUGAAUAGGGCGUUUAGUAUUUGGUCGUAGACCCGAAACCAGGUGAUCUACCCUUGGUCAGGUUGAAGUUCAGGUAACACUGAAUGGAGGACCGAACCGACUUACGUUGAAAAGUGAGCGGAUGAACUGAGGGUAGCGGAGAAAUUCCAAUCGAACCUGGAGAUAGCUGGUUCUCUCCGAAAUAGCUUUAGGGCUAGCCUCAAGUGAUGAUUAUUGGAGGUAGAGCACUGUUUGGACGAGGGGCCCCUCUCGGGUUACCGAAUUCAGACAAACUCCGAAUGCCAAUUAAUUUAACUUGGGAGUCAGAACAUGGGUGAUAAGGUCCGUGUUCGAAAGGGAAACAGCCCAGACCACCAGCUAAGGUCCCAAAAUAUAUGUUAAGUGGAAAAGGAUGUGGCGUUGCCCAGACAACUAGGAUGUUGGCUUAGAAGCAGCCAUCAUUUAAAGAGUGCGUAAUAGCUCACUAGUCGAGUGACACUGCGCCGAAAAUGUACCGGGGCUAAACAUAUUACCGAAGCUGUGGAUUGUCCUUUGGACAAUGGUAGGAGAGCGUUCUAAGGGCGUUGAAGCAUGAUCGUAAGGACAUGUGGAGCGCUUAGAAGUGAGAAUGCCGGUGUGAGUAGCGAAAGACGGGUGAGAAUCCCGUCCACCGAUUGACUAAGGUUUCCAGAGGAAGGCUCGUCCGCUCUGGGUUAGUCGGGUCCUAAGCUGAGGCCGACAGGCGUAGGCGAUGGAUAACAGGUUGAUAUUCCUGUACCACCUAUAAUCGUUUUAAUCGAUGGGGGGACGCAGUAGGAUAGGCGAAGCGUGCGAUUGGAUUGCACGUCUAAGCAGUAAGGCUGAGUAUUAGGCAAAUCCGGUACUCGUUAAGGCUGAGCUGUGAUGGGGAGAAGACAUUGUGUCUUCGAGUCGUUGAUUUCACACUGCCGAGAAAAGCCUCUAGAUAGAAAAUAGGUGCCCGUACCGCAAACCGACACAGGUAGUCAAGAUGAGAAUUCUAAGGUGAGCGAGCGAACUCUCGUUAAGGAACUCGGCAAAAUGACCCCGUAACUUCGGGAGAAGGGGUGCUCUUUAGGGUUAACGCCCAGAAGAGCCGCAGUGAAUAGGCCCAAGCGACUGUUUAUCAAAAACACAGGUCUCUGCUAAACCGUAAGGUGAUGUAUAGGGGCUGACGCCUGCCCGGUGCUGGAAGGUUAAGAGGAGUGGUUAGCUUCUGCGAAGCUACGAAUCGAAGCCCCAGUAAACGGCGGCCGUAACUAUAACGGUCCUAAGGUAGCGAAAUUCCUUGUCGGGUAAGUUCCGACCCGCACGAAAGGCGUAACGAUUUGGGCACUGUCUCAACGAGAGACUCGGUGAAAUCAUAGUACCUGUGAAGAUGCAGGUUACCCGCGACAGGACGGAAAGACCCCGUGGAGCUUUACUGUAGCCUGAUAUUGAAAUUCGGCACAGCUUGUACAGGAUAGGUAGGAGCCUUUGAAACGUGAGCGCUAGCUUACGUGGAGGCGCUGGUGGGAUACUACCCUAGCUGUGUUGGCUUUCUAACCCGCACCACUUAUCGUGGUGGGAGACAGUGUCAGGCGGGCAGUUUGACUGGGGCGGUCGCCUCCUAAAAGGUAACGGAGGCGCUCAAAGGUUCCCUCAGAAUGGUUGGAAAUCAUUCAUAGAGUGUAAAGGCAUAAGGGAGCUUGACUGCGAGACCUACAAGUCGAGCAGGGUCGAAAGACGGACUUAGUGAUCCGGUGGUUCCGCAUGGAAGGGCCAUCGCUCAACGGAUAAAAGCUACCCCGGGGAUAACAGGCUUAUCUCCCCCAAGAGUUCACAUCGACGGGGAGGUUUGGCACCUCGAUGUCGGCUCAUCGCAUCCUGGGGCUGUAGUCGGUCCCAAGGGUUGGGCUGUUCGCCCAUUAAAGCGGUACGCGAGCUGGGUUCAGAACGUCGUGAGACAGUUCGGUCCCUAUCCGUCGUGGGCGUAGGAAAUUUGAGAGGAGCUGUCCUUAGUACGAGAGGACCGGGAUGGACAUACCUCUGGUGUACCAGUUGUCGUGCCAACGGCAUAGCUGGGUAGCUAUGUGUGGACGGGAUAAGUGCUGAAAGCAUCUAAGCAUGAAGCCCCCCUCAAGAUGAGAUUUCCCA